UACAGAGGGGGCAAGCGUUGUUCGGAAUUACUGGGCGUAAAGGGCGCGUAGGCGGCCUUCUAAGUCAGACGUGAAAUCCCUCGGCUUAACCGGGGAACUGCAUCUGAUACUGGAUGGCUUGAGUUUGGGAGAGGGAUGCGGAAUUCCAGGUGUAGCGGUGAAAUGCGUAGAUAUCUGGAGGAACACCGGUGGCGAAGGCGGCAUCCUGGACCAACACUGACACUGAGGAGCGAAAGCCAGGGGAGCAAACGGG
rnacentral:rRNA from 1 species